rnacentral:rRNA from 1 species
UACGUAGGUGACAAGCGUUGUCUGGAUUUACUGGGCAUAAAGAGCGCGCAGGCGGUCGAUCAAGUCGAGUGUGAAAGCCCCCGGCUCAACUGGGGAGGGUCAUUCGAUACUGAUCGACUCGAAGGCAGGAGAGGGUAGUGGAAUUCCCGGUGUAGUGGUGAAAUGCGUAGAUAUCGGGAGGAACAUCUGUGGCGAAGGCGACACCCUGGACCAGCACUGACACUGAGGCACGAAAGCGUGGGGAGCAAACAGG